CCAAGGUCUAAUUGUCAAAGAAACUUGAAACUUGCACCUUCCUGGAAAGAAGCCUGCUGCAGAGAUCCUGACCAAUCCUAUUCAUGUGCCGUGUAGACUUUUCAAAAGUGAGAUUUGUCCCACAGAACAUCUUCAAGAUAUGCUGUAGACUUCCACAAAGGUCCUCUGUGUAGCCAUCGCCCCGCCAGAACUGCGUUUGGUGAUUCAGCCUGCUCCCAUUCUGUCAGUCCGUGCGCAUUGGACAGACUUGCCGUCCAUCUCUGAUAUUUGCAGUAGUGGAAGCUGCUGGCUACCCUGGAGAGCUAAAGAAAAAACAGAGCUUUUGAGAAGAAUCCUUGUAAAGAAACUGCCUAGAAUGCCCAUGCCACUACUCAGAGAAGCCUGCCCUCUUACUUGCUUUCUUCCCUUCUUUCCCUGUCUGAAUGGAAGCAUAUUUCCAUAGUGCCUGAUUAAGGUAAGGUUUACAUUUGC
ensembl:lncRNA